CCGGGCGCCGGGCUGGGCUGGGCUGGGCUGGGCUCGGGUCCUCUCUGCCUGUGCCUCUCCGCGCCGUCUCCCUCCCC
rnacentral:miRNA from 1 species